AAUGAACGUUGGCGGCGUGGAUUAGGCAUGCAAGUCGCGCGACAAGGAACCUUCGGGUUCUGGAGGAGCGGCAAACGGGGUAGUAAGGCAUCGGAACGUACCCUCUUGUUGGGAAUAGCCGCGGGAAACUGCGAGUAAUGCCCAAUAAUCCCUACGGGGCAAAGGUCCGCCGCAGGAGGAGCGGCCGAUGUGAUACCAGCUAGUUGGUGAGGUAAUGGCUCACCAAGGCUUAGACGUCUAGGGGGUGUGAGAGCAUGGCCCCCACCACUGGGACGUGAGAUACUGCCCACGACACCUACGGGUGGCCGCAGUCGAGAAUCUUCGGCGAAUGGGCGGCAAGCCUGACCGAGCAACGCCGCGUGCGGGAGUGAAGGACCCGUUC
rnacentral:rRNA from 1 species